rnacentral:rRNA from 1 species
GACGAACGCUGGCGGCGUGCUUAACACAUGCAAGUCGAGCGGUAAGGCCCUUUCGGGGUACGACGAGCGGCGAACGGGUGAGUAACACGUGGGUGACCUGCCCUCAGCUCUGGGAUAAGCCUGGGAAACCGGGGUCUAAUACUGGAUAUGACUCCAUGACGCAUGUUGUGGGGUGGAAAGCCUUGUGCGGCUGAGGAUGGGCCCGCGGCCUAUCAGCUUGUUGGUGGGGUGAUGGCCUACCAAGGCGACGACGGUAGCCGGCCUGAGAGGGCGACCGGCCACACUGGGACUGAGACACGGCCCAGACUCCUACGGGAGGCAGCAGUGGGGAAUCUUGCGCAAUGGGCGAAAGCCUGACGCAGCGACGCCCGCGUGAGGGAUGACGG